GUCCUCCUGGAGGCUGGAAACAGGGUUUGCAGGCCACCAAAAGCUCCCCAAGGGGGCUUCUUAAAGGACAAUCAUUUCGGAGUUCUCUGGUCCUGGGGCUCCGGUCUCAGACUCAAAAGAGCCAAAUUUCUCUCUAAAGUCAGCUUCUUAGAGGCUUGCUUAUGUUAGGCUAAGUUGUUCACCGGCAGAUGAAGAUACAUUGAAAAACCACCAGGAAAAAGUAAAUUCAAACCUGAAGAAGAAUCUGUUAACGAGGGUUGAGAGGAGAAGAGCAGGAUACUAGAGCUUCCGAAAGAAGGCUAUGGAAUGUCCGUCAGGAAGGGAGGAUUCUCCCUCCGGCCCCCAGGCGCCCUCUCCUGACCAGUUCGGCAGAGGCCGGGGCUGGGGGCCAGCCGGGUUCCAGGAGCACCCCGUCGCUGACCCUGUCUCAGGAAAGGAAGCCGCUCUCCCCUGCGUCGCGGCCUCCCCAGGCCCCACCCAGGCCGGCGUUCCUGCUCCUCUCGGGAUGCGAGGUUGAGGACCCAGGCAGGAAAAGGAUCCAGGGCCAAGAGUUGGUUUUGCCCAAGGAAAUGGCCUCUCCAGCCUACCGAGCUGGCUCUUGAGGACUUCUGCCCCAGAGUUCCAGACACCUCUGCUUUUCCUGUCUUAGCGCCAAACAAAUGCACCGGGGUCACGAAGUCCUGAUCCUGGGCUUGCUCACAGCCCCUUCCGCCAUCCUACCCUACAGCGAGGGGAAAGCAAAGCGCGGAGGCACCCGGGUCUCUCCCAGCCGGGAGAGGGAGACUCGGCUCCCUCAAGAACCGGGGCUCCAGCUCCCUCUCACACUCCCCACUGAAUCCCACCAGGAGCAAAAUCCUUUAAAGGGAACAAAGACAAUGCGGGCGGAGCGGGGGGCUUCCCUUCCGCGGACCCGGGGCGGCAGGUUGACGCAGCCCGGGGCUGGUCAGCGCCGGCUUUCAGCAAGCAAUCGGUGUGCAGGAACACCCCUGUGCCGUGAUGCCGGCUGGGCACCAGGAAUAUCAAGGGAGAAGAUUCAGAUGAGACAGUCGUGUUAAAAAAAUAGAACUCCAACUGUGUGAGAAGUGCUAUAACAAGGUAGAAACAAGGUUUGAACCCAGAGGCCAACCCCACAGGCUGCCCACAUUUUACUUCUAGUCACAGUCUGUUGCAACCUACCCUGCAUGCUAAAGACAACCCUGA
ensembl:lncRNA